GUCCUGUAUCUCAGUGGUUAGAGCAUUUGCUUAGCGAGCAAAAGGACCUGGGUUCAAUUCCCGGGCAGGGAGAAACA